GACGAACGCUGGCGGCGUGCCUAAUACAUGCAAGUAGAACGCUGAAGGAGGAGCUUGCUCUUCUGGAUGAGUUGCGAACGGGUGAGUAACGCGUAGGUAACCUGCCUGGUAGCGGGGGAUAACUAUUGGAAACGAUAGCUAAUACCGCAUAAAAUUGAUUAUUGCAUGAUAGUCAAUUAAAAGGUGCAACUGCAUCACUACCAGAUGGACCUGCGUUGUAUUAGCUAGUUGGUGAGGUAACGGCCCACCAAGGCAACGAUACAUAGCCGACCUGAGAGGGGGAUCGGCCACACUGGGACUGAGACACGGCCCAGACUCCUACGGGAGGCAGCAGUAGGGAAUCUUCGGCAAUGGACGGAAGUCUGACCGAGCAACGCCGCGUGAGUGAAGAAGGUUUUCGGAUCGUAAAGCUCUGUUGUAAGAGAAGAACGAGUGUGAGAGUGGAAAGUUCACACUGUGACGGUAUCUUACCAGAAAGGGACGGCUAACUACGUG
rnacentral:rRNA from 1 species